GAUGAACGCUGGCGGCGCAUUUAAGACAUGCAAGUCGAACGAAAAUUUACGCUUAAAGAGUUGAUUAGUUUACUAAGAGAUGAUUUAUUGUAAAUUUUAGUGGCGGACUGGUGAGUAAUACAUAGGUAAUCUGCCUUUUAGAGGGGAAUAACUAGGAGAAAUCCUAGCUAAUACCGCGUAAGACCACACUUAGGCAUCUAAGAGAGGUCAAAGGAGUAAUCCGCUAAAAGAUGAGCCUGUGGCUGAUUAGUUAGUUGGUGGGGUAAGAGCCUACCAAGACGAUGAUCAGUAGCCGAGCUGAGAGGCUGGCCGGCCACAUUGGGACUGAGAUACGGCCCAGACUCCUACGGGAGGCAGCAGUUGGGAAUAUUGGACAAUGGAGGAAACUCUGAUCCAGUGACGCCGCGUGAAGGAAGAAGGUCUUCGGGUUGUAAACUUAUUUUAUCAGGGAAGAAGAAAGUGACAGUACCUGAAGAAAAAGGACCGGCAAACUACGUGCCAGCAGCCGCGGUAAUACGUAGGGUCCAAGCGUUAUCCGGAUUUACUGGGUGUAAAGGGCGAGCAGACGGCGCUGUAAGUCAGCUGUGAAAACUUAGGGCUCAACCUUAAGCCUGCAGCUGAAACUGUAGUGCUAGAGUGCAGGAGAGGUAAGCGGAAUUCCUAGUGUAGCGGUGAAAUGCGUAGAUAUUAGGAGGAACACCAGUGGCGAAGGCGGCUUACUGGACUGUAACUGACGUUGAGGCGCGAAAGUGUGGGGAGCAAACAGGAUUAGAUACCCUGGUAGUCCACACCGUAAACGAUGGAUACUAGGUGUAGGCGAGAUAUCGUCUGUGCCGGCGCAAACGCAAUAAGUAUCCCACCUGGGGAGUACGGCCGCAAGGUUGCAACUCAAAGGAAUUGACGG
rnacentral:rRNA from 2 species